UUCUCCCAUCACAGCAGCAGUGACCACGCGCACGCACAGACACGCAGACGCAAGAUCGGCCGACUGAGGAGGGCACACACGCGAGGAAAAGCUAAAUAAGAAGGCGUGGGUAGAAACGCGCGCACAUCACUCAUCAUCACCGGCACGCCCGCCCCGCCACACCCCUUCCCCCUUCACUCUCGGCCGCACCGGCGAUCGCUUCUUCAUUCUCCAGUAUUCGCGUGCGCCUCAUGUAUCCAGAGAGACGGCCCUAUGCGACAACCAUGCCGCAUAGCGGGUACCGAGCGAAGCCGUUCGUCCCGCAGCCGCCGAAGGAUGCACUGAUGAUGCUGCGCUCCCACAUCGGCUACGAUGACCUGCAGAGUGGUGGCAGCGAUCAACCAGUCUCGUUUCUGCGCUCGGCGGCAGGGCGCACUUACCUCGCGGACGGCAGCUCUGCAUUGUCGUCGACGCAGUUGACCGCAGCGCAGAAGCUGUUGCCUCUCACCGGUCGGAGCUCGCAGGCGGCGCUGGACGCGGCGCGGCUGGAGCCCCCGAUCGAGCACGCGUCUGUGAUGUACCAUGGCUGUCAGCAGGCCGUCUUGAACGCGGAGUUACGGGAGAAGGUGGAGGCGCACUGCAAACACUGGUCCGCCCGCGUGGAGGAGCUCCAGGCACUCUUGUCUGAUCUCCCGACGGAGAGCGCGCUGCACAACACGCGCGCAGUGGAGAACCUGCACUCGUACCUUGGCGCCUACAGGUGCACUGAGGACAUGCUAGUCACGCCUUCUGAGGUGGCGGAGCAGCACGCGCUGCGCACGCCGGUGCCGGAGAUAGACGUCAUGUCUCAGAUGCCGGCGAUCCCGAUGGACACGAUGCGGCGCGCGCUGGACGACCUGCUGCGAUCGCCGUACCUGCUGGCGCCGCUGGACACGCACCUGGCGCAUCUGAGCUUGCUAGACAAGCUCGGGCAACUGUCGUGGUCGGGCGAGGGCGAGGUGACGGUGCCUCCUUCGAAGAAGCCGCGGGGGCAGCGAGCGGCAGCUCGCAAGGAUUGCACGGUAAACGAAUCGGAAGAGACGGGAGUGGUGCUGCAGGCCGAGGAAGCGGCCGCGGAGGAGGACAUCUACCCCUCUCGCGCAGCUGUUGCUAUGCACGAGCGCCUGCACUACAACCCUGGCGACUACGCGCAGCGCGAGCUGAAGAAGUCCGAGGAGGCUCUCCGUGAGUUGCAGGACCGCGUGCAGACCGCCAAGCGUCAGAAGGAGGAGGCUAUCGACGCGGCUGACCCACUCACCGCCCUGCGCAACCUGCACGCGCAGGUUGACUUCUCGAACGAUCUCCUGCUGCUGUACAGGGCCCGCAUGGCGCUCGUCUCACUGCACUCAGACGACACCCGCGACUUUCGCCGUGAUGUGGUGGAUCUGAUCGACGACAGCCAUCAGUCAGUGCAGGCGGUGCAUAGGUAUGCCAGGGAGGCGCUGCCCAGCGUGCAACACGACGUCCGUGCCCUGACAGAGGUCGUUCGGCAGACGCAGCAGCAGCUGAUCGCCAUGCAGGCGACGGAGGCUGCAGCCGACGCGGACAUGCGGUCCCACCUGUGCGACAUGGACAAGGCCGCCCGUGUGCUGUGGGAGGAGGUAGGCGCACUGCUCGAGAAGAUCGCUGAAAAUGCACGCGAGCGCGGCCGCUACGCACAGAAAUGUAUGUCGUUGCGUGAACAGCGUGCCAAGGAGGCGGCGGCGGUGCAUGCACAGCUGCAGGCGCAGUCGGCCCACUGCGAGCGCCUGUGCCGCUGCGAGGAGGUGCUGACGCGAUGGAAUCAGGCUGGUGACUUGUUCGGCAAGUAUGUGGACGCGUGCGUGCCGAAGCUGCUGAAACACCUCGCGGCGGUCGAGGAGAGCGACGCUGACCUCGCCCAACGUGAAGCAGAGGAGUACGUGGGCUACUACGAGCAAUUUGUGUACGCGGCUGAGGAGGCCAGAGCGAAGCGAUGCACGCAGGCGGACCGCAUGCGGCUCUUGCAGCGCAGCACUCUGCUGAACCAAGAGCGCGCGAGUGACACGAUGGACCCCGACGCCGCUGCGCACGCUCAGCGCCUGGAUGACGUCUCACGCGAGCUGGACGAGGUGCAGCUGUACCUGAAGUACGUCUCCGACAUGGAGGCAGACCGAAAAGCCGAGGUGGACCCGGUGUUGAGGGGCGUCCUGGCACGGCAAACGCAGGCCCAGCUGAUCACGACCGGCGAGGAGGGCGAGGCCGAGAAGCCGCUCCCCACGCCGGGCAUGCUGGAGGAUGCGCCUGCUGCAUCUGCAGCCGAUGCCAAGCCGUCCCCGGCCUCGCCCUCGACGGCCUCUGAGGCCACGAAGAGCACUGCUGCCGCUCCGGCAACGGCAGCAGGUGACGGCGCUGUCGUCGCAGCCACCACCACCACCGCCACCACCGCUCCACCUUCUCUCUCGGUCACGGUCGCUCACCCCUUCGUCACUGCCCGCCUGAUCGGUCUGGCGCACGAGAGCGACUACCUCUCUCAGCAAGGGCAGUUGCUGGGGCAAGAGAUGCAGGCAGUGGAGACGAAGUGGACGGGGCUGCGCCACAGUCGCGAGGAGCUGCAAGCCAUGGAGGAAAAGUAUAAGAACGGCGACGACAUCCGUGCGCUGCUCGGUGUGGACAAGCCGUAGAUGUGUAGUUGGUGAGGGAUAGAGGCAGCAGCGGCAGCAUCCUCCCAACGCUUCUUAUCUGCUGCGCCGCUGCCUCCAGACGAGCAUGUACAUUAGUUUCGCUUGCUUCACUUCCUUUUCUAUUCUUCUCGCUUCCAAACCUCUUUGCCCGCGCGUCUCCACGCACGUGUGGGUGUGGGCCACUAGCUGAUGAAGGUGGUGGUGGUGGUGAGACGGCCUAGACACGCCGUUGCUGCCCCCCUCCUUCCCGUUUUGUGGUCUCUCAAUGUAUAUUUAAGUCUAUGUGUAUGCCGUUCGUUGGGCAAUAGUGCGCACGGAUGCGAUCUAAGGAUGUACAUAGAGCGUCGGGGUCCAUGUACUCGCUGUCGAGAAGCCCUGCCUUUCGUUGUAUCGUUCCCGUCUUCCUCUCGUGCUGGCUCCCUUGUGUACGUGUGAUCGAUCGAUGCUCAUUGGACUACGACGCCGAACCAGGCAUCGACACUGGGACGCCCACGUACACUCCGAGGCACCCGCUCUCACGGACCCACGUGCCAGCGCGGGUGCGUCGCUCGCCUGCCCAUUUCAGCGGACACCCUCUGUCUCUCCAUCUUCGUUAUCCUUUUGCUUCAUGAUGUCGCUGCCAUUGGGCUUCACCUCAUGUUCAGUGCAUCCGUCUGCGCCGACCCUCUUGCUCUCUGCUCAUGCGCGCACACGCACCUGCGCCUAGCCAUACACGCGCG
rnacentral:misc_RNA from 1 species